rnacentral:rRNA from 1 species
CCUACGGGUGGCUGCAGUGGGGAAUAUUGCACAAUGGGGGGAACCCUGAUCCAGCAACGCCGCGUGGGUGACGAAGUACUUAGGUAUGUAAAGCCCUGUCAGCCGGGAGGAAAAUGCCGGUACCUGACCAAGACGCCCCGGCUAACUACGUGCCAGCAGCCGCGGUAAUGCGUAGGGGGCAGGCGUUAUCCGGAUUUACUGGGUGUAAAGGGAGCGUAGACGGGAAGGCAAGUCUGGAGUGAAAGCCCGGGGCAUAACCACGGGACUGCUGUGGAAACUGGGUGGCUGGAGUGCAGGAGGGGUAAGCGGAAUGCGUAGUGUAGCGGUGAAAUGCGUAGAUAUUAGGAGGAACACCGGUGGCGAAGGCGGCUUACUGGACUGUAACUGACGUUGAGGCUCGAAGGCGUGGGGAGCAAACAGGAUUAGAUACCCUAGUAGUC